rnacentral:rRNA from 1 species
AGUGAACGCUGGCGGCAGGCCUAACACAUGCAAGUCGAGCGAACGCACAAUAAGCGUUCGCUUCUGCGGGUGGCGGGUGGCGGAUGGGUGACACGUACAUCGCCUUCCACUUUUUCGUGGGGGACAACGUAGGACCACAUCUGAUACCACAGCAUACGUCCAACCGCAUGGAGCAGGGGUUCAUGACGCUUUUCCCGUCACUUAUAGAUGAAGUCGCGUCGGAUUAGCUAGUUGGUAAGGUAACGGCUUACCAAGGCAACGAUGCGUAGCCGAUCUGAGAGGAUGAUCGGCCACACUGGAACUGAGACACGGUCCAGACUCCUACGGGAGGCAGCAGUAGGGAAUAUUGCGCAAUGGGCGAAAGCCUGACGGAGCAACGCCGCGUGAGUGAUGAAGGUCUUCGGAUCGUAAAACUCUGUUAUUAGGGAAGAAAAAAUGUGGAAGAAACCCCGCCUGUUCUGACGGUACCUAAUGAGAAAGCAACGGCUAACUACGUG